rnacentral:rRNA from 1 species
AUUGAACGCUGGCGGCAUGCCUUACACAUGCAAGUCGAACGGUAACAGGUCUUCGGACGCUGACGAGUGGCGAACGGGUGAGUAAUACAUCGGAACGUGCCCGAUCGUGGGGGAUAACGAGGCGAAAGCUUUGCUAAUACCGCAUACGAUCUACGGAUGAAAGCGGGGGAUCUUCGGACCUCGCGCGGACGGAGCGGCCGAUGGCAGAUUAGGUAGUUGGUGGGAUAAAAGCUUACCAAGCCGACGAUCUGUAGCUGGUCUGAGAGGAUGAUCAGCCACACUGGGACUGAGACACGGCCCAGACUCCUACGGGAGGCAGCAGUGGGGAAUUUUGGACAAUGGGCGAAAGCCUGAUCCAGCCAUGCCGCGUGCAGGAUGAAGGCCUUCGGGUUAUAAACUGCUUUUGUACGGAACGAAAAGCCUCUUUCUAAUAAAGAGGGGUCAUGACGGUACCGUAAGAAUAAGCACCGGCUAACUACGUG